GAUCCGCCCACCUAUGACAGGAAGACUGGUCAUUGUAUGCACAGUGGGGGACUCGGGCAGUGUCUGUCUGAUCAUCUUACUUGCUGUGACAUCACUGCCCACGGAUCAGAGGCCCUCAGUGCUGGAGGGAGGAACCAGGAAAAGCAAAGCCAGACGUGGGCAGUAUCCAGGCUGGGGCAAGGAUGACCCUCAUGGGCUGAUGGAGGCAGGGAGGUCUGGAGUAGACACACAGCUGACUGCAGGCGCCUGUGCUUCAUGAGGUUGGCCGAAAGUCACCACAGGAGUCUCACCCUGAAGACCCAUCCCAGGGACAUCUUCUCUGUAUCCUGGUUCAGCUGGGAUCCAGUGAGAUCCGGUGAGGACCUUUCCUUCCAAGAUGUUUUUCAAUCAUUCUCAAUAGCGGCCACCCUACUGCCAGCAGAAUAGUAAUAGAAACUGAUAUUUAGGGAUCUAUUUUAAAAGUCUGCCAGGCGGCAGUGGUGCACGCCUUUAAUCCCAGCACUCCGGAGGCAGAGGCAGGUGGAUCUCUUCGAGUUCAAAGACAGCCUGGUCUAUAGAGCAAGUUCCAAGACAGGCUCCAAAGCUACAGAGAAACCCUGUCUUUGGAAAAAAAAAAAAAAAGUCUUUCAGGCUGGGGAUGUGGUUCAGUGCUAGAGCACUUGGUUCAUAGACACAAGGCCCUGGGAUCUAGUCACAAAACUGUGAGAGAAAAAACAAUUUUAAUUAAAUUUCUCCUGGAUUCUAUGCACUGGAAAGUCAUAUGGGUCUCACAUUAUCGCCAGACACUGGGGCUUGUGGUAAAACAGCUGGCGCUGUUUGGUCCUGGAUCCUGUGGUAUCCUGGUGAGGCUGGAGUCUGGCCCAGGCAUGCUUUAGUCGUAUGGAGAUCCAGCGGCCAGUAGGAGCCGGUCACAGGAUACUGGAUGCUCAGAACUCUGGUGCUUCUGGGAGGCCAGGGGUGGCAAGGCAAGUAUGUGCAUGCCAGCUCCAGAAAUAAGCUGGGGACACGAUGGAUCCUGGAUUUUGAGAAUGCACUGAUGGGCAACACCUGUAGGCCCCAUGAUUCUCUUAGGAGGAUAACCAGGGCUUACAACCCAGGGAAACCUUGACUUUAAACCAGUCUUGUUUACAGCAGAGGGACUGACAGCCAUGCGCAGUGUGGGCCCUGUGUUCUCAUGUGUGGGUGAGGGACUCAUACGGGCUCUAUUGUGAUCAAGCUGAGGCUCAGGGCUCUGCUUGGCCUAGAGUGAACUUCAUGGAGGCGGGCUCUGCCAUGCAUAAGGCCACAGUGAACCCUAGAACCUGCAUGUCUUAAAUACCGCUUUGUCUCCAUGAGAAGGACUCCAGAGUCAGCUCUAGACGUCUGGCAUGGCCAGUCCUCUCCCAGGGCAUCCUGACCUGUGCUGCUGUCAUGCUGUGGGAACGUGGCCCCAACAGCGGCAGCCCCAGGGUUAGCUUCAUCCCUGGCUUAUUGCUAUUGUUGCUCUCACUCCUCCCCAAGCCUGUCACGGGCCCCAGAGUGAGCUUCAAUCUGGAACCCACAAAGGCACCUGCUUCUCAACGUCCCGGUUUCUCCAACUAGAAAAAUGUUGUCCACCUUGCCACUCGUAAGAAAGUGGGACUCUAAGUGGCACAGAGAAUCCCAGCCCUGUAGGCUACUCUUGUUCCCUUUUCUGGCUCUGGGACCCAAUAAGUUCCCCCAACUUUCUCCUUUGUGCCUCAGGGCUGGGUCUUGUCGGACCUGGUAAAGCCCUGAGAUUCCUGGAGGCUCUCAGUCUCCAGCACCUGCAGGCAGCUUUUCUCACUAGUCCUUCCCUGUAGUACCCAUAUCUGCCAGCAGAGGGCGGAAGUGUCUCAGCUGAGCCCGGGCACUCCAGCCUUGCUGGAGGGAGCCAGUGAGAGUGUCUACACUGCAUGGAAAUCCUGGGGCACCUGCCAGAAACUUUCCUGGGACUCUCUCUGAUGCCUCAUCACUCAGGAGGAGUGAGAAGAUCUGUGGCCCUCAGGAUUCUCACUGGGCACCCUAAACAGAGUAGAUGGGAUAAGCAAUAAUCUCAGAAUGCCAGGUGGAGAGAGGCUCCAGUCCAGCAUGGGCAUGUCAGACCCUGGUGCACAGGCUGGGUAGGCCCCAGAGUGCAGAAACUCCACUGUCCUGCAGAAAUCUCACAAGAGCCUCCUUUCCCAGCUUCCGAUUGGCCUAGCCAUGCCGUGGAGUCCCUGAAGCCUUAUUCCCCUGCGGCUAAUAGAGGAUGUGUCCCUCGGGCAAAUAUACUCUAACUAGGAUCUGGGGCAGUGUUCUGCUCACCAGCAUCCACCAGGCAUCUGUGUUGGCAUGUCUGGGCUAGAUGGAGCCUAGAUGUAAAAACCGAUUCUGGGCUUGCCAGGGUAGACCUAUUAGGAGGGUCCCAGAGCUACACAGACGGCCAAGUAUUCAUGUGAGUCUCAGGGGACCCCAGCAAGGUCUCAUUGGAUGGCUGUCUCUGUAUUCAGCCCCCAUGUCAUCCCCUCUCACUCUUACAUUUCUCGCUCUGCUGGGAAGCUUGGGGAAGGCCUUCCGGAACACCAACAACAGACGCCCCCAAGCUUCUCACACAUGGGAAUUCUGCGCUGGCAGCUUUAGCUGAGAUGCCCACUUGGGUGCCCAGCACUUGGAUACAGCAGCUGCUGGCCUGAGGUCCUUGAUAUCUAGGGCCCCCUCUGACUCAUGUGGAAGCCCUUCCUUUGCAGUUGGUGUCUUCUAUCUUCAUCCCAUUUUGACAUGUGAGAAGCACAUGCUAAAAUCACCUCCCCUGCCACCCUAUCCCUGGUUUCUUCUAAGACCUGAGUUCACAGAUUCAGAGCAAAACCCACUGUCUUUUACUGGCUUGCCAGACUGAGGCCAUAGAGCCUGGAGUCCACAUGUCCAAGGGUCAGAUGGGCCAUGGAACACAGCGAGAACAGCUGUACAGUGGGAGCUAUGGCCUCGCAAGCUCAGCACAUUGCAUGUACAGUCGGGCUCUGACCUUUACAGCAAGCUGUGGUGUGAGCCCUUUCCUCCUCCACACAGAUGGAUAACAGGGCUUCAAGAGCUGAGAAAUCUGACCCAGAACCAUAAUCAAGUGCUCUGCUUUGGUAAUGGCAUCAUCCCCCCCCCCCUAGAACACAGCUAAAUCUGGUUUUGAAAUGCAUCAGCCGCCUGUCUGUGCUUGGGUUUUGUUGUAGUUAAACCAUUAGUGUAGGUUUUUAUUCUGGGGAGACAUAUAUAGUGCUAGGCUUAUGCAUCUCAUCAUUUCUAAUGCACAGCUGAGGGUACUCAGUUCCUGUUGUGAAACCCUCACCACCCUUUAGCUCCAGAGUGAUCACCUUCCCUCACUGAGGCUCUAUCCCCACUAGACACCAGUCUCCAACACCUUCUCCCUAGAGCCUGGACACCAGUCUCCAUCACCCUCUCCCUAGAGCCUGGACACCAGUCUCCAUCACCCUCUCCCUAGAGCCUGGACACCAGUCACCACACCCUCUCCCUAGAGCCUGGACAUCAGUCUCCAUCACCCUCUCCUAGAGCCUGGACACCAGUCUCCAUCACCCUCUCCUGGUGCCUGGACACCAGUCUCCAUCACCCUCUCCCUAGAGCCUGGACACCAGUCUCCAUCACCCUCUCCCUAGAGCCUGGACACCAGUCUCCAUCACUUUCUCCCUAGAGCCUGGACAUCAGUCUCCAUCACCCUCUCCUAGUGCCUGGACACCAGUCUCCAUCACCCUCUCCUAGUGCCAGGACACCAGUCUCCGUCACCCUCUCCCUAGAGCCUGGACACCAGUCUCCAUCACCCUCUCCUAGAGCCUGGACACAAGUCUCCAUCACCCUGUCCCUAUUUCCUGAUAGGCAUCAUUCUUCUUGCAGUCUCUACAUUUGGUGGCUCCAGGGAAUUCAAGUUGAUGGAUCAUGCAGCAUUUGUCCUUUUGUGUCCGGCUUAUUUCUCUCUUCAUCGUGCCCUCAGUGUUCACUUGUGCUGUAAUGGUUGUCAAAACACCCCUCAUCCUCAGAGAUGAGAGAUACUCUGUGUGGAUGAUAUAUUGUGUUGUCUCAUUCACCCACUGAUGGGCUCUGGGCUGCUUCUGCCCCAGCUGUUGUGAGCAAUUCUAUAAGGAACUUGUGUGUAGAAAUCUAAGACCCUGUUCUCCUUUUGUCUGCAUCUUGGUUACCUUCCUGUUGCUGUGAUAAAUUGCACCAGCAAAAGCAACUUAAGGGAGAAAGGGUUUAUCCCAGUUCACAGUUCAAGGUACGCACAAUCAGUCAUCACAGCGGGAGGUCAAGGCAACGGGAGCCUAAAGCGGCUGGUCAUGGGAAGAAGCAAGGGAUGCACAGUACCCCUUCUCUACUUAUACACACCAGAGAAUGGUCCCACCUGUAAUUGAGACGCAUUUUACCGUAUCACUGAAGUUAUCCAGGAUACUCCCACACAAGCACUGACAUUGGUUUCAGGGAUUGAACUAUGUUUGGCAGGUUUCCUCAGCAAGUGCCUUUACCCACUGCACUACCCCUCGGGUCCCCUCCAUUUAGUAUAUUUUGGAUAUUGCUUCAUAUCAGUUAACACUUUCUCUGACACUGUAGCUACACAUUUUCUUAUCAUAAUUUACUUAACUCACAAGGAUCAUUCCAAGCUCUGAAUGUUAAAUUCAAUGUCUGGUCAGGCCCAGCGUCUCCACUGAACCAUGUGAACCUGUGUCACCAUCCAAGAGUCUACUGGUUGAUGAAAGUGAUGAGUCAGGUCGGUCCCUUGACGGCUGCUGGGGAGGGUGUGGCAGAUCCCAGGGAAGACACAGUCUGUUGUGAAGAUUUUACUGAAACUGUGGUGCACUGUGUCUAAAUGAACCCUUAGAACUUUCGUUUUACAGAAAGACAGUCAAGUUGAUUUUCUCACCAGCAGGCCCUUUGUCAGUUCUGUGGCUUCACAAUUAAAAUCUGACAGAAGAGAAUUCAUUCUCUCACAGUGUGCCUUGGAUUCAUACUAAAGUCAGCAUUUGUCAUGAGCAUAUUGCUUGUGAAAAGGACAGUUUCCAAUCUUUUGUCCGUUUCUCUGUGACUGUGUCUACCUUUCAAACAAAAUUCAAUUGAAGCCUGGGCGGGGAAGAUGGCCCAACUGAGUAUCUGCUAUGCAAGUAUGAGGAUCUGAGUCCAUAGUCCCAGCAGCCAUGUUAAAAAGCCAGGAGAAGCAGCUCACGUGGAAGGGACAGGGAGAAGGAUCCCUGGAGCUCACUGCCCAGUCUAGCCAAAUCGACAAGCUCUAGGUUCAGUGAGAGACCCGACCUCAAAACAUAAGGUGGAGAGUGAUAGAGGAAGACCCCUGGACUUGAUCUCUGGCCUCCACACGCCCACAGCACACAGCACGCCCCUGUGUGCUCGUAUGCACACUGUCUCGUGAGACAAAUUGAAGCUGGAUAGAAGCUGGUAUUUCCUGUCAUUUCUGAGCAACAUACCAAUAAAAAUGUGUUUGUCCUCCACAAAUGAGAGAAUGGCUUUUUCCUCAGUUGGCAUCUCACUGUGCAUAAAGAAUGGUCCCAGGCUAGGGUCAGGAUCAGAGCCUCCGCUGAACCGUGUGAACCUGUGUCACUGCCCAAGAGUCUGCUGGAUGAUGAAGGUGAUGAGGCAGGUCAGUCCCUUGAAGGCUGCCGGGGAGGGUGUGGCAGAUCCCAGGGAGACACAGAAUGUUCGUUUGCUGUGUUCCCUAUUGAACUCAAAGACUGGGGGACCAGGGAAAGCAGGUCCAGAAUCUCAGAGAAGUCUGGAGGAGGCAAACAAGCCAUGCCUGGCAGGGUAUCGGGUGAGCGUGCCUCUUUGCUGCUCAGAAUGCGUGAGAUCCGACUUGCAGGAUUUCAUAAAUCACAACUGUUUUAGCUUCGAGAGGAGGGAUUGAUUAAGGUCUGAGCCAUCAGGCGUCGAAUGGAUCAGGCUGUCUCUCACCACCUCCCCUUCCCAGACGAGCAAGUCAGCAGUUUUCCGGGAAAGCAGUCUCUACACAUUUAGCAUCAUCACAACGAUUACUGUAAGGGGGCUCGAUGGCCACAGCCAACCAGCGGCUCAGCCUUGGGGCUGGGCACCAGGACAGGGUGGCUGCAGCAGUGUACCCCGGGGGUCUCUGAUGAAACCGCCCCCACAGAGGCCUAGUCUGUCUGGGAAUUCUGCUGUCUGUAACCCUGGGAAGGCUGGGGGAAGGGGCGGUCAGCUGCCUGUCUUGCAGAGGCCCCCACACCUCCAGUAUUUCAUUCAGAUAGCUGUUACGCUUUGAGAACGGCCUGCUGUGACACCCACCUACCCACCGAAUCCAGGAAAGGCAUUUGUUAGUGACAUUUUCCCACAGCCGACUUUGCCCUCAUAAAGCAAUUUGGUGCUCAUAGCUCCCCCUAGUGGAGUGUUGCAAGUAUUUUGCAGGCUCUUCCUCAGAAUCCCGGAGGUGGUAAUAAAUCUGAGAGCACCUGCCACAGCUUCUCACUCUUACGGACUGGAUGGACAGACACUCACCUCUGAAGGAGCAAUCGGUUCCACUUUCCUCCCAUUUCAAGGACACUUUCCACUUUUGGAAUAGUUUCAGGUGAAAGGUGUAGAGUCCCCAAGCCGGUAGUCACCCUCACAUCAACUUAGUGAGAUAUCUUCAUGUACAUCUCACCACGGUGGGAAUCCAGCAACUUUUUUCUGCUGUCCUUCUCUGUCCCAGAGCCCCACAUGACACUCAGAUGCCCCAUGUCCUCAGAGCUGUGAUCGUCCAUGGAAUGUCCCUCUUUAAAAAAUUAGCAAUGAUAGUCUUGGUGACAUGCCAGUACUUUACAGAAUGGCCCUUGGUUUGGAUUUGUCUGCUGUUUUUCUUGUUAUGAGACAGACUAUGGUGUCUUUUCCACCACCUGACAUGAGCGGGGUCUGCCCCACACACUACCCCCUAGAACUCGAAGGCCGGCAGGUCUUCUUCACUUGGAAGUGAUGGAAAACCAAACCCAAACUGGCCUGACAGAGAGGGACCUGGGGAGUUGUAACUCAGUCUGGAGUAUUACUGGCUUUAAGUAUGCCUAAACCAGAUACAUAGAUACUGUCAUGACCAGAUGUCCUAUUGGUGCCCAAUCUACAUUGGCUCUGCCCUCAAAGACCAGCCUCUUCCAGUCUCAGGAAGGCUCCCAGCUGAGUGGAAAAAGCAGACCUGCUGCCCAUGUUGGCCUCAUUCUCUCCCAAGACCAUGUGCUCCACCCUGGACACUUUCCCAUGGCCUGCCAACUUCUUUCCGACACAAGAGCUGAAGAAAAGCAGCGUCUAUAUCUCCUAACAUAGAAUCUGGACUCCUGUCUCCAACCAAAUGUCCCAGCAGACACCAUCUCCUGAUGCCCCCAGACCUCUGUUGUGAGAUAUCACCAAAGGCUUUGAUAAGCUGUUCCAGCUCCAGCCGGUCUCCAAGAGUUAUAUGCCACAUUUACACUCUGCAGUAACUUCCCAGGUGAGAAGCAAUAAGCAGAGUGGGCCUUGUCACCUUGGUGGACAGGCAGGUCCUGUGUUUGAGGCCUGAGUGGAACACAUUAAUAGUUUAAUUUGGAGUGUGACGUACGUGAGGCUUGUUUCCAUCAGAGGCUUAAUUUAGGAGGUGAUAGUGACUGACAAAGAGCAGGCCCCUGGGGUCUUUGGCUUGAUAGGCUGGGGGAAUCUCUCCUGUCAGAAAACAGGCUUUGGGCCACAGCUUUCACUGGGGACAGCCUCCAGUCAGACACCUGAAUCUAUCUAUAGCCAGAGUAUUACCCACCCCAGCCCCUGUCAGCACCCAAGUUCCCAGGGAUGGAGUUGGCAGUCAGCCUAUUUGAUGUCCUUCCCAGGGCUGAGUCUGGAAGGGUGGGGUGUUGUAGAGUGCUUAGUAGGGGAGACGCUGGAAAUGGGGAGCAUGCUGGCUGGGUAUAUAAAUGGAAGAGUUGGGCAGAGCCCUCCCUACACACCUGUAGCUGGGUCGUCGGCUGGUGGCUGGGUUGGGGUGCUGCCAACCGGUUGAGUAAAG